GGACCAAGGAGUCUAGCAUGUGCGCGAGUCAUUGGGAUAUUUACGAAACCUAAAGGCGCAAUGAAAGUGAAGGUCCGCCUUGCGCGGACCGAGGGAGGAUGGGCGGUCCCGAGGGGCCGCCUCGCACUCCCGGGGCGUCUCGCUCUCAUUGCGAGAAGAGGCGCACCCAGAGCGUACACGCUGGGACCCGAAAGAUGGUGAACUAUGCCUGGUCAGGACGAAGUCAGGGGAAACCCUGAUGGAGGUCCGUAGCGAUUCUGACGUGCAAAUCGAUCGUCGGAACUGGGUAUAGGGGCGAAAGACUAAUCGAACCAUCUAGUAGCUGGUUCCCUCCGAAGUUUCCCUCAGGAUAGCUGGCGCUCGCUUCUCGCGAGUCUCAUUCGGUAAAGCGAAUGAUUAGAGGCAUUGGGGUCGAAACGGCCUCAACCUAUUCUCAAACUUUAAAUGGGUGAGAUCUCCGGCUUGCUUGAACUGUGAAGCCGCGAGAUAUCGGAUCAGAGUGCCAAGUGGGCCACUUUUGGUAAGCAGAACUGGCGCUGUGGGAUGAACCAAACGCUGAGUUAAAGCGCCUAAAUCGACGCUUAUGGGAUACCAUGAAAGGCGUUGGUAACUUAAGACAGCAGGACGGUGGCCAUGGAAGUCGGA
rnacentral:rRNA from 1 species